ACCUAUUCAAAAUAGGUCAAAUUGCGCUCCUUCAGAGACGGAAGAACAAAGGAAGACGAUGCGUUAUCCUUGAGCGGCUGCCGCGUUUGAAGCUUAACAUUGUCGACACGUCUCAACCUCGUGUUCAACUCUUCUUCAUCGCUCGAAUACGUAUCAAUGGAGAAUGGACAAAAACUCGUCGAAGAAACGCGAACAAAGCCCUCCGUACAGAUGUUUUAUUGCUAUCAUCGUCGCGAUCAAUAUCCUUCGUUGUUCAUCCCUUCUGAUCGAUGCUGAAACCAAGCCCAGGUUGGAGGUCGAGUGAAAUUCGGUUGGAAAGUUGUUAAAGGGUGGAAUUUAGUUAGAUGGUUUGUUGAACUUAGCUCUGUUAUGAAGAUUUGGUUAGCGAGUCGAAAACGGUUGAAGUAUUGGAUGCAGUUAGAGGGUUUGUUGUUUACUCCUGUUUAUAGUUUCAGAACGCAUUUUGCCGUGGAUAUGAAGAACAAGUUUGGACGUGAUGCAACUGCUUCUAAUUAUUGAUUGGCCGAGUUUUCCAUUCGCCAUUGUUAGUCCAUUGGUUUGAUAAUUUUGUUCCAUUCCUUGCUUUGAAAAAUCUUGUAUGCCUUUAAGACGAGCUUUCGACAUGAUUUUGAUGAAGACGAUAUUUCAAGCUCUUCCUAUCAAAAGAAGGAAAAAGAAGGAUCCUAUCAAAACUUUGCUUAAGAUUUUCAUGGAUAAGUUAAGGUAUAUGAAAUUCUUGACAUAUACAUUCAUAGUAAUAUUUUUCCUGGACCAAUCGAUUGGUCUUGUAUGUCAGAUUGAUCAAAGUUUCUAUUUUACUACUUUUCGCUUCAAAUGCAAAGCCAAUCGAUUGAUGCUUUGAAGCAAUCAAUUGAUCCUAGUUUUAUUUCUUAAGUUUUUGGCCUAUGUCAAUCGAUUGGUCUUAUGAAUCAAUCGAUUGAUCGUGAUAAACUUUUGAAAAAUCUGAAUUUUAUUCCUUCACUCUUUACACCAUUCCAUCGUAAACUUUCAUGGCAAGCUUCACACCUUUUCAUUAACAUUCUUCAGAAUUAUUUUUAACCAUUGCCAUGUUAUGUUGAAAGGACGCAUUCAUACUAUAAAUACCCUUUAUAUCUUCAUUUCAUAUUUACUCUUUCAAUCAAAUUACAAUAUCUCUCUACAUUCAUCUUUAUCUAAAUUUUUAUAUAUACAGAUACUUUUGAAAUACAUUUUCAUAUCAUUUUCUUCAAAAGUAUUCUUGAGCACUUAGAGAGCAUUGUGUCUUGAACCUUCAUAUUGUGAAAUAGAAGAAGGUUCUAAUCAUUUGAUUAAAUCUUGUCCAAUACAAAUAUUCAUACUUAUUCAAAAUUACUCUAUAAAAUCCUAAGUACCAAGGAUUGUUUGGUAUUAGGUGUGGUUACUUAUCAUCCAUGAUUGUUGGAGAUAAGUGUCAAGAAAAGGAAGUAUUGUUUUCUUUUCUUGUGAUAUAAGUUUUCAAGAGGAUUGUUCUUGAUAAAUUUGUUAGAGGCUUGUUUAGGAGAUCUAAUUAUAAUAAAAUCUCUUACACAUUGUAAGGGGAUUGGAGUA